GGAGGAGUGGCUGAGUGGUUGAAGGCGCCGCUCUCGAAAAGCGGUAGGCGUGCAAGCGCCUCGUGGGUUCAAAUCCCACCUCCUCCGCCA
rnacentral:tRNA from 1 species